AUGGUGUCCGCGCGGAAGGGCCAGGGCCGCGGAGGCGGGGUCCGAGGCCCUCCCCGCGUCGACGGCGGCGGCAGCCUGGCUUCGCGCGUGGCCGUGCUCGCCUUCUGCGUCGGCGGGAUCUGGUCGUCCUACAUCACCCAGGGGAUCCUCCAGGAGACGCUAUCGACGAAGCGAUUCGGGCCGGAGGAGCGGCGGUUCGAUCACCUCGCGUUCCUCAACUUCGCGCAGAACGUCGUCUGCUUCGUCUGGUCCUUCAUAAUGAUCAAGCUGUGGUCGGGUGGUAGCAGUCCUGCCGGGCGGGCGCCGCUUCUCAAGUACUGGGGCGUCAGCAUCACCAACACCAUCGGCCCGACCAUGGGGAUCGAGGCGCUCAAGUACAUCAGCUACCCGGCUCAGGUCUUGGCAAAAUCUUCUAAGAUGAUUCCAGUUAUGUUGAUGGGAACUAUACUCUAUGGUGUUAAGUAUACACUUCCAGAGUACUUUUGCACCUUCCUUGUUGCCGGGGGCGUCUCAUCCUUUGCAUUGUUGAAGACAAGCUCGAAGACUAUCAAGAAGCUUGCUAACCCUAAUGCUCCUCUUGGCUACGGGUUGUGCUUCCUCAACUUAGCUUUUGAUGGCUACACUAAUUCGACCCAAGAUUUGAUAAAGUCCAGGUACCCCAAGACUAACCCUUGGGAUAUAAUGCUUGGCAUGAACCUCUGGGGAACCAUAUACAAUACUGUAAUUAUGUUUGUGGCGCCAUUGCUGUUCAGUAACUGGCCAUAUGCAAACGGUUUUGAGGCGGUGAGUUUUUGCCGCGAGAACCCAGAGGUAGCAUGGGACAUUCUCAUGUUCUGCCUAUGCGGCGCUGUGGGUCAGAAUUUCAUCUUCCUAACCAUCAGCAGAUUCGGCUCUCUUACUAACACUACCAUCACCACCACCCGCAAGUUCAUGAGCAUCGUCAUCUCAUCAGUUAUCAGUGGUAACCCACUGUCCAUGGAGCAAUGGGGAAGUGUCGUGAUGGUCUUUUCUGGCCUCUCUCUCCAAAUAUAUCUCAAAUGGAAGAGAAAGAAGGGCAGAGAUCACAAGGAAUGA
rnacentral:rRNA from 1 species